AGUCAUAAUAGUUCUUGCAGCUUGGAGUGUGCCGCCAUCCUCCCCAAACACAUCUCGACUCUGAAAGUGACCCUAUGAAGGCUAUGACUGCUAAGCAGCAGGCAGAACAGACUGAUCAGAAACUUCUAGUGUCAAAGGGAUGUGAAUCAUUUGACUGCAUGUCUUCCUGUCUGCCCUCCUCUCAGCUCAUUUGAGGCAACCAUGGAGAAGAUUGUAUGCUGAGAUGGAAGACCCAAAAGAUUGAAGCAGCCUGGAUAACUCGGGUACCACACAGAGGACAACUGCCCUAGAGAGUUGCCUUGACCCGCAAAAGACAUUGCCUGAGAUGAAAAUAAACUUUUAUUGUGUUAAA
rnacentral:lncRNA from 1 species